rnacentral:rRNA from 1 species
UACGAGAGGUCCAAACGUUAUUCGGAAUCACUGGGCUUACAGAGUUCGUAGGCGGUCCAGAAAGUGGGGUGUGAAAGCCCUCGGCUCAACCGAGGAAUUGCGCUCCAAACUACUGGGCUAGAGGAAGAUAGAGGUGAGCAGAACUGAUGGUGGAGCGGUGAAAUGCGUUGAUAUCAUCAGGAAUACCGGAGGCGAAGGCGGCUCACUGGGUCUUUUCUGACGCUGAGGAACGAAAGCUAGGGGAGCAAAC